CAUUGACAAACAUUUUUUUUAAAACUUUGUUGUUGUUAAAUUACAAGCAAGCAAAUAUUAAUCUGAAACCUAGCUCAAGCAAACAUACAACGCUUCAGACCACAGCAGCUGCAAGAAGACAGCAGAAGCCAGAAUCAACAAAUCAUACAACAUUCUGCUUGCAUUUCUCUUUCUUGUGGCUCUUACUGCAGUCUUUUUGCUUGGCUUUCAAUAAUAAAUUUGUUCAAACUCUCUGGGUUCUCUAAAGAUUUUUACAUAUGUACUUCAAAUACCCAUAUCCACAGCUUAAACUGUGUCAGCUGGAGUUGUAAGGAAUCCCAGGUCCUGGACACCAGAGAAAAAAGUCUGGAGCAAGGAAGACUUAUCCUUGGUAGCAAAGGAUCAGAGUAGGGAACAACUUAGAAUUCUAGAAUCAUAGCAUGAUUUGAAUUGGAAUAGAUCUUUAAGUAUCAUCUAGUUCAAACCAGAUUACAUGGGCAGGGGUACCUUCCAUGAGAUUAGGGUGCUCAAAACGUUUUUCAAGCUGGCCUUGAACACUUGCAAGGAUUUGGCACCCACAGCUUCUCUGGGCAGGACUUUGCACAUUGCCCUGUUAAUUUCAUGAGGUUCACCUGGAUGCACUCCUCAAGCCUGUCAAGGUCCCUCUGGAAGGCAUUUCCUCCAUCUAGUGCAUCAGCUGCAUCCCUCAGCUUGGUGUUCUUUAGAGCAAAUAAAUUUUAGCUCAAAAUUCCCACAACAGAGGUAUUUUAUUUUCAUGUAUAACGUAGUUUUUCAUUCAAGGAAAGCAAGUUCCUCAUAUUGUGGAAAAGAGUUACAUUGCAAUUCUUAUACAUUUAACCUCACUUUUUUGCCUUAUCCCCUGCAUUGAUUUAAUUAUAGAAUUUAUAUGCCGAAGUAGCUAGACACUGUGAAGAAAAGCAAAUUGUUUUAUCUCAUUCUUCCACCAAACUCCUUAUUGGAGUCAUAGUGUAAAACCUCAGCUCAGUAAGAAAAUGUCAUUCUUGCCCUUUGAUGUAUUUAGAUUAUGAGUCACAUAGAGCUACCAAGUAUCUGGUUUUGUUAUGAAAAGAAAAAAUGAUUACAAAUGCAUUUUUAGUGAAGCUCUCAUCUAGGGACUGAAACCAUCACUGAGAUUAAGAUAGGUCUCUUUUUGUGUGUGUCCUGUGGCUUCUUUAACAGCUGAAGUCUGUGUCCCUAAGUAUUACAUGGCUUGAGCAUAUCCCUUCACAGUAACAGAGAGACUGGAAAAGGCACACGUGGAUGCUUUUUGGAUAACUAAAACCUUCUUUAUGAUAGCACUUCACAAAAACUAAGGGGUUUUUUUCAUUACUUGUAGAAUUUAUCCAAGGAAUAAAAUACAUAAUCUGUCUUCCUUUAGGUAUCAAAGUUAGAUAUUUAAAUCUGAAAAAGUUAUAAAAUUUUUGCAGUGAGAGGAGUGAGAUGUGUACUUCCAUUGUAGAGUCUUUGAUGACAUUCUAAGAUUGACGGGUAAGAAAAGUCAGAUGUACUAUCAUUUGUACAAGCUUAUUUGUCAAUUCCCAUCUGGAGGAUGAAAUUCCUAGUGUAUACCUCUGGAGCAGAUGCAGAUUAAGUGAAGAAUUCUUUUUUGAAGGCAAUAAGAUGUGUUGUCUUUCUCUUCAUGUAAACUCUCACAUUGCCAGAAAGGGUAAUGCUAGUCUGUCUUUCAAUAAAUAGGACUGUUUGGCCAACAUGCAUUUGUACAUAUAUAUGUUCUUAGUGACACUUGGUGAAAACUAUUCUUUCUGAUAUCAGAAUGACAAUGACAUUUUGAUUUUCUCUUAAAAAAUCAGAAAGAACAUAAGUGGUCCUUAUUCAGGUGUUGAAAUGGGUUCUCCCAAUGCUGCUUUGUCACUAUAUUUGGUGUACAUGACAAAGUUUUGGUAGCAGAGAUGCUGCAGCGGUGGUCUUUUGUAAGAAGAGGUUGGAGCAGCCCAAUGCCAGGGACAGACAGUUCCUGAUAGAUCUGCAAUGGAAUUGAGUCUGUGAAAGAGCCCACGUUGAAGCAGGAGAAAACUGUGAGGAAGAAUGAGAGGCAGAGAGGAGCUGAUAUGGGCUCAUGACACUUAAUCACCCAUCCCACCUUGACCACUCUGGGGAGUUUCCCAUUACUUGAACCCUUUGUUUCCCAUUA